rnacentral:rRNA from 1 species
UCAAGUAAUUAAGUGCAUGUGGUGGAUGCCUUGGCAGUCAGAGGCGAUGAAAGACGUGAUAGCCUGCGAAAAGCUCCGGGGAGGCGGCAAAUAUCCUUUGAUCCGGAGAUGUCUGAAUGGGGGAACCCACCUACUUUAAGGUAGGUAUUGCAACAUGAAUACAUAGUGUUGCAAGGCGAACGAGGGGAAGUGAAACAUCUCAGUACCCUUAGGAAAAGAAAUCAAUUGAGAUUCCCUCAGUAGCGGCGAGCGAACGGGGAUCAGCCCAUUAAGUUAUGUGUGUUUUAGUGGAACGCUCUGGGAAGUGCGAACGUAGAGGGUGAUAUUCCCGUACACGAAAGGGCACACAUAAUGAUGACGAGUAGGGCGAGGCACGUGAAACCUUGUCUGAAUAUGGGGGGACCAUCCUCCAAGGCUAAAUACUCCUGACUGACCGAUAGUGAACCAGUACCGUGAGGGAAAGGCGAAAAGAACCCCUGUGAGGGGAGUGAAAUAGAUCCUGAAACCGCAUGCAUACAAGCAGUGGGAGCACCUUCGUGGUGUGACUGCGUACCUUUUGUAUAAUGGGUCAGCGACUUAUAUUCAGUAGCGAGGUUAACCGUAUAGGGGAGCCGUAGAGAAAUCGAGUCUUAAUAGGGCGUUUAGUUGCUGGGUAUAGACCCGAAACCAGGCGAUCUAUCCAUGAGCAGGUUGAAGGUUGGGUAACACUAACUGGAGGACCGAACCCACUGUCGUUGAAAAGCCAGGGGAUGACUUGUGGAUAGGGGUGAAAGGCUAAUCAAGCCUGGUGAUAGCUGGUUCUCCCCGAAAGCUAUUUAGGUAGUGCCUCGGACGAAUACCAUAGGGGGUAGAGCACUGUUUCGGCUAGGGGGUCAUCCCGACUUACCAAACCGAUGCAAACUCCGAAUACCUAUGAGUACUAUCCGGGAGACAGACUGCGGGUGCUAACGUCCGUAGUCAAGAGGAAAACAAUCCAGACCGCCAGCUAAGGCCCCAAAAUCAUAGUUAAGUGGGAAACGAUGUGGGAAGGCAUAGACAGCUAGGAGGUUGGCUUAGAAGCAGCCACCCUUUAAAGAAAGCGUAAUAGCUCACUAGUCGAGUCGGCCUGCGCGGAAGAUGUAACGGGGCUAAAACUAUGUGCCGAAGCUGCGGAUGUAUACUUUGUAUACGUGGUAGGGGAGCGUUCUGUAAGCCGAUGAAGGUGUGUUGAGAAGCAUGCUGGAGGUAUCAGAAGUGCGAAUGCUGACGUGAGUAACGACAAAACGGGUGAAAAACCCGUUCGCCGAAAGACCAAGGGUUCCAGUCCAACGUUAAUCGGGGCUGGGUGAGUCGACCCCUAAGGCGAGGCCGAAAGGCGUAGUCGAUGGGAAAAUGGUUAAUAUUCCAUUACUUCUGUGUAAUGCGAUGAGAGGACGGAGAAGGCUAAAUCAGCCUGGCGUUGGUUGUCCAGGUGAAAGGAUGUAGGCAUGUAUCUUAGGCAAAUCCGGGGUACUCUAUGCUGAGAUCUGAUAGCAAGCUGUACUUGUACAGCGAAGUGGUUGAUGCCAUGCUUCCAGGAAAAGUCUCUAAGCUUCAGUUACACAGGAAUCGUACCCGAAACCGACACAGGUGGUCAGGUCGAGUAGACCAAGGCGCUUGAGAGAACUCUGCUGAAGGAACUAGGCAAAAUGGUACCGUAACUUCGGGAGAAGGUACGCUGUUGUUGGUGAUGGAACUCGCUUCCUGAGCUGACGACAGCCGCAGAAACCAGGCCGCUGCAACUGUUUAUUAAAAACAUAGCACUCUGCAAACACGAAAGUGGACGUAUAGGGUGUGAUGCCUGCCCGGUGCUGGAAGGUUAAUUGAUGGGGUUAGCGUAAGCGAAGCUCUUGAUCGAAGCCCCAGUAAACGGCGGCCGUAACUAUAACGGUCCUAAGGUAGCGAAAUUCCUUGUCGGGUAAGUUCCGACCUGCACGAAUGGCAUAAUGAUGGCGGCGCUGUCUCCAGCAGAGGCUCAGUGAAAUCGAAAUCGCUGUGAAGAUGCAGUGUACCCGCGGCUAGACGGAAAGACCCCGUGAACCUUUACUGCAGCUUGACACUGAACUUUGACCUUACUUGUGUAGGAUAGGUGGGAGGCUUUGAAGCUGGAACGCUAGUUCCAGUGGAGCCGUCCUUGAAAUACCACCCUGGUAAUGUUGAGGUUCUAACUCUGUCCCGUGAUCCGGGACGAGGACCGUGUCUGGUGGGUAGUUUGACUGGGGCGGUCUCCUCCUAAAGAGUAACGGAGGAGUACGAAGGUGCGCUCAGCGUGGUCGGAAAUCACGCGUAGAGUAUAAAGGCAAAAGCGCGCUUAACUGCGAGACCCACAAGUCGAGCAGGUACGAAAGUAGGUCUUAGUGAUCCGGUGGUUCUGUAUGGAAGGGCCAUCGCUCAACGGAUAAAAGGUACUCUGGGGAUAACAGGCUGAUACCGCCCAAGAGUUCAUAUCGACGGCGGUGUUUGGCACCUCGAUGUCGGCUCAUCUCAUCCUGGGGCUGAAGCAGGUCCCAAGGGUAUGGCUGUUCGCCAUUUAAAGAGGUACGCGAGCUGGGUUUAGAACGUCGUGAGACAGUUCGGUCCCUAUCUACCGUGGGCGCUGGAAAUUUGAGAGGAUCUGCUCCUAGUACGAGAGGACCAGAGUGGACGAACCUCUGGUGUACCGGUUGUGACGCCAGUCGCAUCGCCGGGUAGCUAUGUUCGGAAGGGAUAACCGCUGAAAGCAUCUAAGCGGGAAGCCUACCUCAAGAUAAGAUUUCCCUAGGACUUUAUGUCCUCUAAAGAGCCGUUCGAGACUAGGACGUUGAUAGGUUGGAUGUGGAAGCAUAGUGAUAUGUGAAGCUGACCAAUACUAAUUGCUCGUGAGGCUUGACUAU